UUUCGAUUUUCUUUCGUAUCGAGUUCAAAUACUAGGCGUGACGAAAGAUGGAUUUUGUAUGAAAUAACGUAGUACGAACCUAAUUUUGACAAUCAACGUCGUUUCGUUGUCGUUGAAAUCAUCGAAUGUUGUGUCACUGUCAAUUUUGUUGUGAGAAGAUUACGUUGAUAUAAAUUUUACGUGUUUUUGAGGCUUAAAUGUGGAGAUUAUGUGGUCGGCGAAUUUAUUUCCUUGUUUGGCAUCAUUUAGAUUGUUUAGAUGCUUUAAGUUAAGAGAUUAGGAAGCAUCCCAACAGCAGGUAUUUGACCACAAUCGCACAUGAUGUUAAGAGGGAUGCAGUCUAGGAUGGUACAUAUCUGCCCUGUAAGAUACCUACUUAUGUGACAAAUUGCCGGAAAGAUAGUCUUAUGGCAACAAAAAGAGUGUCCUUGGAACACAAGGUUAUAUUAUGUGCUAUGCAUUAAGAUGCAUCCAGUUCAUACCAAGGCACUGAUGGUAUGAAGAAGCAUUUGGAAUUACUUAACCAAUGCUCUCAAUACCCCCAACAUACUCGGAGAAGUAGGUAGGUACUCAUGCCUACAUAAGAUUUAUCCAUGAACUAUUUUAUACAAAUGUACAUAUGCAUUCAGUUCUUAAGAUCAUACAGAACAAAACACAACAGGGUGAUUCCAUACCUUUGCUCGUAAGUGUUUUAGCCAGAAAGUUUUAGAUCUUAAUAAACUUAUUUACCUAA